GAAUAAAAUUCCUUUAUUAGUGAAAAUCUUAAGAUUGCAAAUCUUUAUCUUUGGGAAACCUUUUUCAUU
rnacentral:tRNA from 1 species